GACAGCUACGCUGCAGCCGGGGGCUGCAAUGUUUUUAUUCCCCAACCUCUGGUCUGAUCGCCGCUUUGGAAGCGGCCCUUCGGUCAGAACGAGUCAUUGAACUGAAAGGGGGUUUUUAGGUUGCAGCGGAGAAGAAAAAAGCCCUAUUCAGUAACAAUUACAGAAAUGGCAUGAGGUUCACUGUCAGGAGUUCUAGUCCCAGUGCCCACACACAGCCCCGCUUCCAGCUUCGGCAAAGCCCGGCUGAAAAUGGUGCUGGGCCUGCUUAGAGACAGGACCGCCUGGAGUGCUUCCUGACAUGCCAGUAGUAGCACCAUGGCACUGCCAGCCUCGCACGUGGCUAAGGUUGGAUCAAAAGGCUUGGUUUCUGGCUGUGCUCCCAUGCUUUGUGCGUGCCCUGGCAAUGCAAAGCCAAGUAACAGCAGUGACAAAACCUGCCCCUUCACAGCCCUGCCCUCGCACCUCUUGUGCCUCGAUACGCUCUGCUGAUGCAGGAGCACACCUCUUGUCUCUUAGCAGAGAGAAGAGCUGUCCUGAAGGCUUGGGUGAGAACUGAAACCACAGACAUUGGGAACAGUCCCAGGAAAACUUUGGUUUUAUUUAUUAUUUUCGUUAAUGCAUCUGGACAUUUUUGCUUCCCUUUGCUUUUCUAUCAGUGGUUGUUAGUGCUUCUACUUUCUCACUUAAGUUAUGCUACAACUGGUUUUCAGUCUUAGACUCGAGAGAUAUUUCUGUGUUUUGUGUAUAUGAAUACACUUUGAAGAAACAUAUAUAUGUGUAUAUAUAUGUUAUAUACAUGCUAUAACUGGGAGUUGCUGCUUUUGACAUGCGUAGCUAUUGGAUAGGAUCGUUCGAGUUGGAAGGGACCCUUAAGGACCAUCUAAUCCUACUCUCUGGCUCUGAACAGGACACCUGCUGUUGAUCAGGUUGCUCAGAGCAUGAUCCAUCCUGAUUUUGAAUGUUUCUAAGGACAUAUCUCCAAUAGUAGAAAACAACUUGGCAGCUUUCUAUUGCAGAAUGGAAAGUUCACGCACAAUUGUAGGGGCUCCAUGUAUUUCUGAGCUGUGUCAUACCACUGUAUUGCCCCUGAAGCACCCUAUGUGAGGGUGCUAAUCUAGGUAGGUUAUGUCAGCUGUGGGAAUUCAGUCCCAGAAACAAACCUUUGCAUCUCUUGGAACAGCUGGAGAGGCUCAGGUCCACUCAUCCAGCUCAGAGUGGACACGAGGAAUUUGGAUUAAAUGCAGAUGGAGUGGGGAUUUUGUCAGUGACAGAAGGGGAGGAAAACACUGAGCUACGACUGUCUGAAUGCAAAUAUAUGGCAUCUGUGUACCUAUUCUGACUUGAAAGUACGAAAAUCAUAAAUAUGCUAUAAUGCAAGAGGCAAAGCAUAUGCGAAGGUAACGAUAUCCCAUUACUUCCCCUACAGAAAAGAAUUUUCAUAACUCAUUCAUACUCAGUUGAAUAAAUGCUAAGAUUCACUGCUGGCUGUUAAUUAUCCUUCACAAAGACCUGGUUAUUGUGUUCAACCUCAGUAAAGGCACAGUUGUUAUUGUAGCGUACAUAGAGAGAAUGGUACCUAAGGGAGAGAGGAGGAAACAGGCUCGUGCAGGAUUUUAACAAGGAGCGCUGUGUUGCACAGAAGGGAAUUUGUAGGGUGGGGUUUUGAUAUAAUGCGCUUCAGGAAAUGAAGCUUUUUGAAAAGACAAAAACCUUGCUGCGACUCUCUGCAUUCAUAUCACUCAGAAUUUGAAAGACACCAGACACUUUAAAAUUACUGUUAUUAAAAGGAAUUUCGAUGAUGAUUUUGUAUGAAGAGGUAGAAGGCAGGAAUUGGUCUGUCCAUAAUCAUACCAAGGCAGGUGCAUGCAGGAGCUCACGAGGCCCAUCUCCAUGGGGUUUUUCAGGUGCACUGGAGGCCUCCAUCCAAAGACUGCAGGCUGCUUCCACAUCGGCAGGGCAAGGCGUGGGGGACUUAUGGGAGCUUUUCCUGCAGUUCGCAGCGCAACAGCACUGUGGAAGAGCGCCAGCUGGAACUGCCAUCUGAGCUGGGUGCCGUGCUGAGCCACCAGGACUCGUUGGACUUCAGAAACAGAAGGACUGGGAACAAAGGUAACUUCAGCGCAGUAGCGGAACCCAGCUUCCCUCCCCAUUGCUUUUCCCCAUUUCUCCUCUAUAUCCUUCUUUUCCUUUGCGCAGGGGACAAGUGGUUGCUUUAUUGUUCCAAAAGUGCACGUUGAAAGGAGAAAAAAACAUGUAGUUUCUGGUAGAAAUAUCGAGAACAAGAAAACUGAAUAUACAAAGCUAAAAUAAGCAGAAGUACAACUUCUAUAAAUAUCACGCGUAGCUAGGGAUGAAGAGAAUAGGAAGAAGAUGUUGACAGAAGUGAAGCAAGAAUUUUGGGGUGGGAUACAAAACGAUAUGAGACAAAACAUGAGCCUCUGGGCUGCCCUUCCCUGCGUGGCUCAUUGCAUGUCACUCUGGUAGCCCAGCAAUUGUCUGCUCUCCAGUGCUUUGACAGAACUGGGAGGUCUCUUCUGCAGUCCCUCGUGGCCAAUCCAGCGUAGUGGGUAAGAAAGCAGCAUCAGAAGAGCUAGUGCACUUUGGAGUUGCUUGUGUCAAAAGAUCAAGUCCUACCUAGGCUUCUUCCAGAAUCCCAAACGUGGUCAGAGUGUAGCAGUGAAGUAAAUUUUACCUUCUGGCCAACUGUUAGCUCUGUGUUUAGCGUUAAAUUCUUGCUGACUUCAGUCAGAAACUGGUUUUCUUUGCCGCCACACCCCCCCCUUUUCCCCCCCCCCAUUGUAGUUAGUGAGACAAGCACCAGGCUCAGAGCAAGCUGAGAGAUGCCUGCUGCUGGGCGGCCAGCAGGAGCUGUGGAGCAUCUCUCCCAUGGUGUGAACCACUUUGGUUUAGAUCUGAUAUUUUCUGCUCAAGUGGUGUAUGUGAACAAGCAGGAUCCCAAUGCAUUUCCAGUAUUUUCAGCUUGGGAAAUUCGCAGUAAGACCAUUUUUUUUCCUGUAAUCCUCUUGUUGCGAAGAUGGUUUUUGUGUUGUGGCAUGCCCUGGGGGAAAAAGGGAAGUUUGUAAGUAUUUCAGGGGUUUUAACAGUGUUACUUCAAACUGCAUACUAUCCUAAUAGCUACUUGCAAAGUUCUUGUUUAUUUGGGAACGACCUGUAUCGCAUCCAUAAAACCAUUAAUGUUUAACACUAAAAUAUCUUGAGAAGAUUUUAUUAAGGAUUUGCUUUUUCUGUUGAUCUUUCUGAAAUAGCUUUUGAGCCCCUUUUGGCUCUGACUUUCCUGGCCCGCAGCUGUUGUCUUCCAACUAUAACAAAUGCACACUGCACCUCCUGAGGUCUUACUUGGAGCCUAAGUGGAAAAAUAACCCUUAGUGAAAUCCCGUUAGAGAUGUGUUGUGCUCCAUCUGUGGAGCUGGGGUAUCAGAAGUGUGAACAAAGGUUAUUCUUUGGUUCCUGCGGGGGAGCAAGACUUGUCUUGUCUAGAGUUGCCUUCUAGGAACCAUGUCAGUAAAGAAGAAUGCUGGCUCUUCCCACUUUCUCAAUUUUCAGAUCACGUUUGUCAGCCUUAUAGUGAAAGGAUACUAAACUGAGUAUACAAAACUUGCAAGAUGGGAGUGAUCAGCUGGCCAGCGUCGAAGGGAUGGAUUUGUAUUCGUGUCUCAGCAGUGCAAGCAUAAUGGUAAUGUUCAGGUACUUGGGCAAAGCAAUGACAUGGGCAGUGCCAGGGCUCUGACUGUGGAUCAGUGACAAUUCGCUCUCCCUCCUCCCCUCCACUUUUUCCUUCAUUCAACCAAGCAGCAUAAGUGCUUAUUGCUGCAGAAUGUAAGUGCUGCCUUGCAACAACCACAUGCAACCUAGGGUACAGGCUUUUUUGGUAUAUACAAAAACCAUCUUGUUAUUAUGACUGUCUUCGUCUAAGUAUGCUACUCCCAGAGAAGAGUUACCAUGUUCUUAGGGCUCAACGCACACUGCCAUCAGACACUGCACAGCAGAAUUGUCCUUUUGCUGGCACAGCCUUCAGUUUCAGCCUGAGUAGCAGCUCAUCUGGCGUUUGUCUUCACAUGUGAGAGAAAAACACCAAGACAAUUGCUCUCUGCAAGUCAGAGAGCUGUUCAGAUGAGCUGGGGUAUCUGGAUGUCUAAGCAAACCUGCAUCAAAGUACAGAAUGCCUUAGUGCCGUGUUAUUUGUGUUUUUGCUUUUCACGUGUUGUCUUGCAACAGCAGGGGGUGUUUGCUCCAGGGCUGUGGUUUCCUGGUGCAUGUUGUACCUUACGUGGUUCGUGGUCACUCUGGUGGGUAGGAGCAGAGGAGCCCAGCUGGGAUUGCCAGCUCUGAAGUGUUUGAGCUUCCUCAGCAAAGCCUGCAUCAGCCUGAAGCGCACAUAGCUUCUCUCCUGGAGGAGACUAUGUGAAGAGGUGGGAGAAGGGGAAGAUAUAUCCCUACCUGGAGUAUAGGAAAGGGCACUGAGAAAACACCUGUAAAGGAAGGAAUCUAAGCAGGGCCAGCAUUCACGGUGCCAGGCUUCAGACACUUGGAACACAGGGUGUUUGGGCUGUGUAAUAGAUCUUCUGUUGGAGCAAAAGCAAGUAAAUGUGUUCUAAGGGCAUGGGUGAGGGGUGGAGAUAGUAACUCAAAACAUGUGCAAGGAAAACACAAAGAUGAGAUCAGCUGUGAGGGAAGGAGGCCAAAGUCUGGGUAAAAGUGGAAAAGAAAUGAGGGAGGCAGAAUAGGGAAAGUUAUCCCGCCUGCUUUGACAGUUCAGGGACUAAAGCCACUGUACAUGUCAACGGUUUAAUGCAAGCAAUGGAUCAGAAACUAUAUUUGUGUGAAGUAAACUGAAGUGACUCUGACAUCCACACCUGUUACAAAAUGAUGGCGCUCUUCCUGGAAUGGAAAGGGAAGUUCACACACUGGAGAGUGGUAGUGGUAUAAAAAGUAGUAGAAGGGAGGGCUUUAUUACUCUCCUAGUCAUCCUUAACCCUUUUCUGAUGGAAAAUGUUGCAUCAACUUAACAACUGUUCUCCUGCUGUGCAUCCUGGGUGAGGGAGAGUGCGUGACGCCUGCGGCACAGCCUUGCCGUUGGUCCUGCAGGGAGCCAGCAUGGGACAAAGCAGAAUGGUGAGGGGCCUGGAGACCUUUCACGGCUGUGCCUGAAGCCCUGGUGGAAAGAUAGACAGGAGAAGAGCUGGUAAUGCUAUUUUCUACACCAGAGUGCCAAGAUAGUGUAACAAGUAAUUUCUGUAACAGCCAGAUGUGACAACAGCAGGAGCAGCAACUGGAAGAUCACAGUGCAUCUGGAUAAGGGAAUUUUACAUCUUUGUUUUGGUCACUGUUAAUUUCUUCCUGUUCUUAAUAAUCAUGCUGUCAAAUGCCCCUUCCUUUCAGCAAGUGGGUGUGCAAGGAGCCAUGUCGGUAGCCAUGUGCGUGUGUGAGGAGCUGGUUGUAUCUCACAAACCAAUCUGGAGGAGUAAAGUGAAGGUUUGCAUGGCCACCAAGUCAGGCUGUGGGGCAAUUUUGAUUUAAUUGUGUGCCAUAUAUGGCAACGGGUAUCGUUGUAUUUUUCAGCUUAGCUUUUUCUAACAGUUUUAGGUACCUCAUGUGGGGAAAGCAGUAUCUUUUAAAGAAUGCAUUCUAUAUUUGGUAAUGAUUCAAGGCACGAAUGUGUCUGAAGGAAAAAGGCUUUUCAAGUGGAGUGCUGCUGGCUCAAAGGUUCCCCAGCAAACUCUGCCGGGCUCUGCCUCUGAGCCGGGCUGCCCUCUCCCUGGCCCGAGCCUUGAGGGAUCAAUUCGGAAACUGUUUGACACUCUGCACGAUAUUCUUCAAUGGCCUCUUUCUUCUCUGGAAGAAAGAUGCAUGGAAAUGUCAGAGAGAAUUAACAGCUGGGAUGAGUGGGUGGCAAGGACUGAAAACUGUACGGAGACGAUUGAGAGGGGCACUGUCCCACAAGGAAGCAGCUACUAAUACUGCACAGGUGGGUUUGAAAAUAUUGGUUUGGUUUUGUUUUGAAGCAUAAUACAGCCUUAAAUUAAAAUUAAAAAAAAAAAAAAGAGGAAAUGAAAAGUGGAAAAACGAGUUCUGAACAGGCUCUAAUCUCCAGCCAGUAUCUUGGCAAUAGCACUAAUUGACAAAAUGUUGAGAGUGGCUUCUGUUAACAUUCAGACUGAAAAGCACCUGGUUGGAUGUAAUGUCCAGGGCUGUUAUGAUACACUUCCUAUGCACGAAUGUGUGGAAUGGCCCAACGUGGGGUGCCUGGGCCCGGCGGUGGCUCUGCGGUGGGCUUUGCAUCUCCCCUUCAGAUGCUGAAGCACCCAAGGGCACGCUGAGCUGCUGUGGGAUUUGGAGCCGCUGGAGGACCCACAGCGAUGCCUUCCACUGUUUGGCUUCUGCAGAGCUACAGUUUUCCUUUGGCAUCCAAGAGAGAAGAGAUGUCAGACAGUUGAUACCAGAGCUGCCACCUGACUCGUCGCUGAAUGCCAAAGCACGCCUCUGUGUUCUACUUAACACUGGCAUGUGCAGAGCUUGGACAGAUCUCCUGUUGGCCUCAUUCUUUGAAGAUCUGUCACCAGUGUUUGAGAAGAGUCAUGGCCUUUAGAUGUGUGCAUGGACUGGGUGAUUAGACUACUUAUUCAUAGGUUCUUCCCCUUCUGCAGCUAGGCUGCAUGCCUCACAUCUUUGGGCAACUGCAGAAAGAAGCUGGAGCUGGUGUGUUACUGCUGUCAGCUGUACCGUCCACUAGUUUGAGAGGCCUUUCCUUAUCCUAUGAACAACUUCCACUGGAUGCAAGUGCUUCAAUGGAAUCAAAUGUCUCCCCUGUGAACAGCUGGAUCCAGGUACUGGAGAUUUCUCUUUGACCUUUCUUAAAUGGAGUUGCUUAAUUGAGACAUCCAGGCAGAAACCAAUACUUUUAGAGUUGCCUUCACCAUUUAAAAUAGGAAAACUGCUAAAAUCCAAUUUUACCUUAAUAAAUAUUAUUUGCCUUUUAUAAUGUUACAGUUGUAUAUUACUGCAUUUGUACAGCAGACUAACACAGCCUUUGAUAUCCAUGGCAGACCUACAGAAUAGUAGACUUUUCAGAUGCUCUUGAGUGCUAUUUGCACUUCUCUGGGUGCUAGAAAUCCUGGCCUCUUGACAGACACUUCAACACAGCAAGUUCCUGCAUGGUCUGGCAACCUCGACACCCCAAACAAAUCUACAUUUUCCUGCUGAAGAUAGUCCUACCCCUCCUCAUUUGCUUCCACCCCUGAAGCCCUGUCCAGUCCUGCACCAUUUGACACAAUUUAGCUUGCAGUGCGGAGGAGUAUUUUUGCAGAGUUGGUUUCCUAGCAUAUGUGUAAGUCAAGCUCAUUGAGAUGUCAGGUUAGCUCAGCUUCUGGUCAGACCACACCUACUGCUCGAGCCUGCUCCCACCUUGCAAAAUUUGUACUCUGGUAGCCAUUCAUCACAGGAUAGGGAGGUGCUUUCUGGGGGAUGGUGAUACAACCCCAGCCAACACCUUCCUCUAACCAUUGCUGCUUCCUUGACAAUUUCACACUAGGCAAGGAAUAAUUUCUCUGUUCAUGUUCAACAGGAUGAACUCAAGUCAGGCAACUACCUCCAACUACCUUGUGCUGACAAAUGAAACCUCUCAAGUCAACCUGCCAGUUUGUCCUGCAGUCCUGUCAAAAGAUUCUAUUCCUAAGCAAACGGGUCUAUAUGCGAUGCAGAAAUUGAGUGCAAUCCCUAUGAAUAGCAGCUGAAUCUCUUUUCAUGUUUGCUAAGGUUUAAACUGAAGAUGAAGGCCAACAUUCAGGAUGAGGUUGGAUUUGAGUAAAUGUGGUCUGAUUCAAAACCUUGACAUUAUUUUGUUUUUCUUUGGUACCACACAAAUAUUUUGUUUAAAAACCAGAACCAUAUGGCUCUCCAGAUUUUACUGAAGUUGUUCCACUACUUGACUGUAUUGCCUCAAAUUCAGAAGACACCUCCCUGAACUGUUUUUUGUGUCCUAGUUACUUCUUCAGGCCUGUGAUUUACAGGUAUUCUGCUUGUUGCCCUUUUAGUUUUAAGGUAACUUGUUGAACUGAUUCCCUACCAGUCCUUCAAUUUAAAUCCCAGCCUUUUAAAACAACUGAGUUCCAGUUUUUACAGAAUACAGUACAGAAUACACCGCACCAGCGUGCAUUCCUGCCUAUCUUGUCCAGUUGCAUUCUAGACUUCUGUAUGACAAAAAAACCACUUUAUGGAGGAACAGUGUAACACACAUGUGAACACUGAGCUGGACCACAUACCAACAAUCCUUCAGUAAUACCUUCCUUUAAAGACAGGGUCACUGGCAGAAGGGCCUAUUGAAACCAGAAAUAAUAUAUUGUAACUCAGAAGUUUCAAAGGAGUGUACAAACAGAAAAGACAUUUCCAUGUACUGCUGGCACUGCACCUGACAGAAGAUGAGUUAACUGGUGCACUUCCUUCAGAAUUUGUGCAACUCUAAGAUGUAAAGCAACAAGAUGCAGUUACAGUGCUCAAAUAAAGCAAUGAGCUAAAAACUGGAGAGGUGUUAGUUGUAGCUUUCUUUCUAACUUGCACGAUCUUUCACAGCCUUCCCUAAAGUUUCAUCAGAAUCUCUCCUAAACUCCUCUGCUAUUUACAGUAAAGUCUGUAUCUCAACUGUGAAAUGGCCACAUUUUGGAGUAUGGUAAAGUUAUUCUUGUCAUGUAUAGACCAGUUGUGCUUUAUCUACGUAGCUCAACUUAGAUACAACACAUCCUUUUCUGCAAAUAGACUGGGAACUGGUCACUGGACCUACAGUUUACCAGAAGAAGCCUAGAAAGAGGGCUUUAAGAGGGAAGGCUUUUCAAUAAUGUACCUGUCAAGGUUAGUUUAUUCAGGUCACAUACUGAGACAUGACAUUUGAUGAUUAAUCUCAAAUAAGAGGAAACAGUGGCUCCUCUGAUUGGGCAACAAACUCAGCCUCACUGGUGAUCUCAAGUCAGUGCUAAUUCAGCAAGAAGACUACCACCUAACAGAGCUCCCAUACAGUACAGAUGCAAUACCUGUUAGAUUCAGGGCUUUUCUAGAUUGAUUUCAUUCUAGUAUGUCGAUAGACAAAAAGCUACAACUAGUAUCUUUUCUUGUUUCCUUUUAUUCUUGAAUAUUUUUGUUUUUUGUUUCGCAUGUGUUCUUUAUCUUCACUGCAAAGCUGCAAACUAAAACUUUCUUAUCAGGUUUUUAUUCAACAUUUGCAAAUCUUUUUGCUUCUUUUUUUUUUUUGUAAUAUAGCACAUCUAUUUCUUUGGCAAAUUUCUUGUAACUUAACUUUCUCUUUUAAUACUCACAUCUAUUCUAUUAUUCUUCUCUUUUUAAUCUGAAUUUAAUAUUAACAUCACAGCAUCCCCCUAAUUUAAAGAAUUGGACUAGAAACGUUGGUGGUCCUCAGCUGGUCCUCAGUUCUAUUAACAUCCGAGUCUUAAUGAGCUAAAAAACUCUCAAUGUAUAAAAGCAACCCCAAUAGUUGUAUUUCAGAUUAUUCUGUCCUUAAGCACUGCAGCUAUGCCACAAGCCUGCAAACCAAUCCAUACAGGUAAACUUUUAGAUCAGCAGUGGCUUGCUGAAGUCACAAGAGCUCUCAAAAUACAUCCAAUUGUAGAAGCAAUUCCAGUUUAGGUCCUAGACAACAUACUUCAUCUAAAACAAAAAAAACUGAUACUAUUUAGUAAUACCCUUUUAAUUAGCAAGGCCCGUUUUCUUAAUGUCAUUCCCACCUUCCCAGUAUACAAACAGGAAUCAUUUCUUGUACAGUUCAAUCUUUAAAUGAACUGUAUCAGAAGUUCAAAGUUACUGUAAUAAUUCUGAUUCCAGCAUGACAGUGUAUCAUCCAAUUCACUAAAAAUGUCUAAUGCUGUACAGGAAAUUUCAGAUUUAAACCAGCUGUAGAAGACUUUUUUUAGAUCCUACAGCAGCCUUACACUGCACAUAAUCUCGCAUUUUCAUCUUGCCCCUGAAACUUGCUUGUGUAUAUAUAUGUAAUCCUUUUUAAGGUUGUGUAUUCUAGCUUAUACUGGUCAAAAAGUAUUUCUGACAUUAUCAUAUUAUUACGCCAAAUAAGCGUGACUUCUGUUCCUAGUCACUACUUGUGCUUCUUAGGGAGUACUGAAACUAAAAUAAGUAAGACUACAAAACAUGCAGUAAGAGCAAUCUUCUGCUGAUGGGAAGAUACUGCUGGCUUCCUCCAUCGUGACUUCCUGCCAUUACAUUCACAUUAUCAUGGUCUGUUUUUCCUGGUCUGUGAUAGUUUUGGGCUAAGGCUGGGCACUUACUGCAAGGUCAUAGUGAUGGGCUGAUUCAGAAGCACUGUUUAUUCUCCGUUUGGAGAAUAUGCUGACAAUCCUGGCCAGCAGAAUUCCCUGGCUAGCCGAUAGCUUCAGCUACCUAGCACAAACACGGACAGAUAAGAAUAUGCUUAACCUAUCUCCCAUGGAAUUCUCAGUGACAACAGUUCUUCAGCCCAGUGCUUUUCAACCUCAUUCACAGACCUCCAGAAUUCUCUAUGAAAGAUAACUAAGAAAAAAGCAUGCUCUGGGGAGCCUGGAAGCUGAGGGUCGCCUGCUGCCAUGGCCUACGUGCUGCUGCAUCACGCCUCAGAUGUGGGGCAGCCGAGGCCACGCUGGGCUGGUGCACCCUUAAGGGAACCCCUCAUGAGCUCUGGGGGUGCGACAGAAGCAGGCCCUGCCAAUCGUCUGUGCACCAUCACGUACACGGACAGUGCUUUAUACCGAUUUCCUGUCAGAGUUCAGUUUCCUACGUUUCCUCGUGUUGCAAAACACGAAGGACAGAGCAGCCAACCGAUCAUAAGGGGAAUCUUGUCAGCGCCCAUUACUGUGACUGAAAGAAGCCCGUGUGCGAGAAUAACUGCUUGGCCCCUUCUCUGAGGCUCUGCUGAGCCCUCGCGUCUCUGGAGGGCUGUGCCUGACGCGGGAGCCGCUCAGCCGGCCGCCAGGUGCGAGCCGCGGCCGCCAGCUCCUUACGUAACGGCCGCGCUCCGCCGAGGCGCG
ensembl:lncRNA